rnacentral:rRNA from 1 species
AUUGAACGCUGGCGGCAUGCUUUACACAUGCAAGUCGAACGGUAACAGGGAGCUUGCUCCGCUGACGAGUGGCGAACGGGUGAGUAAUGCGUCGGAACGUGCCGAGUAGUGGGGGAUAACGCAGCGAAAGUUGUGCUAAUACCGCAUACGUACUGAGGUAGAAAGGGGGGGACCUUCGGGCCUCACGCUAUUCGAGCGGCCGACGUCUGAUUAGCUAGUAGGUGAGGUAAAGGCUCACCUAGGCGACGAUCAGUAGCGGGUCUGAGAGGAUGAGCCGCCACACUGGGACUGAGACGCGGCCCAGACUCCUACGGGAGGCAGCAGUGGGGAAUUUUGGACAAUGGGCGAAAGCCUGAUCCAGCCAUGCCGCGUGUCUGAAGAAGGCCUUCGGGUUGUAAAGGACUUUUGUCGGGGAGGAAAUCCCCAGCGCUAAUACCGCUGGGGGAUGACAGUACCUGAAGAAUAAGCACCGGCUAACUACGUGCCAGCAGCCGCGGUAAGAC